UUUGUCUUCACAGCCCGGCAUAACAACAUUCUUUUUUUAAAACUAUAUGAUCGAAUUCUUGGAAUAAUCUCAUGCUUUAAGUUAGUUUACAGUUUUGCACUUGACUACAUUCAUGGCUGUCCUCACACAGUCCACGGGGUGGACAUGCCUGCUAGGGCCUCGUAGCCCCUCAUUUCCUGUUGCCAAUGGCACUGUAUGUCAGAGUAGUGCCCGUUUGUCACUUUAGCAUCAUCCAUUACAAACAGUUUCCAAAUUGGAAAAAAAAAAGAGUCACAUACUAAUUGAAAAUCUGAACCCCUGAACCUAUGGGAAGUAAGUCAUAUCUGUAAUCCAAGCACUAAGGAGGGAGGCUGAGACAGUCUGUGGUGCAUACUGAUUUUGAGGCUAGCCUAGGCUAAAGACCAAGAGCCUCUCUCACCUAAAUCUCUGUGUUCUUAAGGUGGACCUACUUGUUCUAGUAGGUAGCUAGUUCCAGGGAUGUCACCGAAGAGACUAACCCAGUCUACACAAAUGAGAGACAUUUCAGAUACCCGUGAGCCGAAGGAGGGAGCAUUUUAGAAGAUAGCUAGCACCAUGCUAAGUGGUUCACCCAGUCCUGAAUAUGGGACAGAUAGGCAGAACUUCAUAAGCAACUCCUCAUCUGGCUGCUGCAGUUUCUCAAGCUUCCAUUUUUGAUGCCUGAUAAAGGGCAAAUGAAACACCGUUGACAGUGUGGCUGCUCGUUGGCCUUGAUUCUGUUUUUUUUGGUAAUGAUUAUCAUCGUGAAGUUCCAUUUGCCAGCUAAGAUGCCUAAAACUGGAUCUGUGCUUUUUGGUUCUUCUUGUGGGCUCUUCCCAUUUCCUUGCAUAACGCUGACUGAGUGAAGUAGGGUGUUGUCCGAGAAGUCUGGGAAUGGAGAAGGAUGUGUGCAUAUUCAUGCUUGCUUUCAAGUCCUUUCCCCCCACCCAUUUGGAAUUCUCGAAUGACUCUUCAUAUUUAAAAUGAUAAAAGUAUUUUCUGCUAACACCAGCGUGUCAAUGGGAGAUUUUUAGUGUGUGGUUUAGUCUUGAUCACAUAUCUUUCAUCCCAUUUUUUUCUUCACUUUCUGAAAUAAAGACAUAAUAACAUAAACAGUCAAGUUUGGGCUAGAGGGCAAAGAGGAAGAGCUCAGAGACAUUUAUCAAAACUGAAUUGUGGGGUUAGGGAGAUGGCACAGUGGUCAAAGUGCUGUCCAAGCAUAAGCGCCUGAGUUUGGAGUCCCAGAUCCUAUGUAAUACUACUGAGCAUGGCGGCACAUGCCUGAAACUUCAACUCGGGAGGGAGGAGACUGGCAAAACUGGGGGUGGGUGACAUCCAGUCAACAGAGUUAAAAUGGUGAGUUCUGGGUUCACUCAGAGACGAGACCCCGUCUCAUAAAAUAACAUCCCAGGGUCACCCUCCCACACACCUACGUGACAAGCUCACCAGCAGACACCACACACACAAGUGAGUUGUUGAAGCAGUGGUUAUUACGUAGGGGUUCCUAAUAGCAGGCUCUUACCUUUAAUAACUUCUGAGAAACAGAGGUAUGGAGGUGACAUGUAACUGUCAUCAUCCGAGGUUGAAACAAUUAUCUGAGUGUCCUCUCACAACCCUCUUUUGGGUUUGGUGUUCUUUUACGUAGAGCUAAUUACAAAUGACAGCACAUUUGGCUGCCAUCACCACAUCAGUUGCUGAUAACUGAUAUGCAGGACUGAAAACGCUGCUUGUCUUGGGAUCAUUUGCAUGAGGUCAGACCACAGCACAGGAUACGGAUGGGGGAGGGAUUACAAGGUGUUGUUACCUUAAACAUGCCAGUCCAUCUUAAAUACUUAAUUUAUAGGCACCAAUAUUUGAAGAAAAAUAUGUUUUUUAUUGAGGGGAAAUAUUUACCCAGGAAUUGCAAGUGAAGGGUAAGCAAAAUUACCUUCAAGGAAGAAGUUAGAUGGUUUCUUUUUAAAAACUGCCUUGUACUCGUUUCUUAGCCUUCUAUUGUUAGUGUGUAUGGACGCUGAUUUCCUUAAUUUCCUCAAGCACUCUGAAUGCUUGC
rnacentral:lncRNA from 1 species